AGCCAGUUCCUUCUACUGGAAUUAACUACCAACGUACAGAAAUAUUUGCUGUGUUCGGCUUCCGGCGGGCUCGUUGCCGUGGUAACCAGCACGCACCACCGCGGCGGCGGUGAUGGCUGGGCUCAGCGGCGCGCACAUCCCCGAUGGGGAGUUCACCGCGGUCUCGUGUACCGCCUCAUCCGCGACUCCGGCUACACCGAGGCCGUGCAGCUGCUGGGCGGCGAGGAUGGAAUAUGUAGUGAAGGCCUCCAGCUGCCAAUCUGCCAGAAGUCUGGAAACAGAGGAACAGGGACAUUUCUCUGACAGCUGGCAGUUGAAACCACAAGCAGGUAUAAAAGAUGCAUACCAACCUUUUAGCAAUAAGUGUC
rnacentral:lncRNA from 1 species